UUGAACCGUAUGCAUCAAAAGAUGCAUGUACGGCUCUUAAGGGAUAUAAAUUUUAUCCUAAUCAACCGACUUUAUCGAGAAAGAUUACUUUUU
rfam:Eucalyptus grandis cultivar BRASTZ1 unplaced genomic scaffold scaffold_3, whole genome shotgun sequence.